rnacentral:rRNA from 1 species
UACGUAGGUGACAAGCGUUGUCCGGAUUUAUUGGGCGUAAAGCGCUCGCAGGUGGUUCAUUGCGUCGUGCGUGAAAGACCCCGACUCAACUGGGGAGGGUCGUGCGAAACGGGUGAACUAGAGGCCAGUAGGGGGAUGCGGAAUUCCGGGUGUAGUGGUGGAAUGCGUAGAGAUCCGGAGGAACACCAGCGGCGAAGGCGGCAUCCUGGACUGGUCCUGACACUCAGGAGCGAAAGCGUGGGGAGCGAUCCGG